ACAGGAAGAAGCUUGCUUCUUUGCUGACGAGUGGCGGACGGGUGAGUAAUGUCUGGGAAACUGCCUGAUGGAGGGGGAUAACUACUGGAAACGGUAGCUAAUACCGCAUAACGUCGCAAGACCAAAGAGGGGGACCUUCGGGCCUCUUGCCAUCGGAUGUGCCCAGAUGGGAUUAGCUAGUAGGUGGGGUAACGGCUCACCUAGGCGACGAUCCCUAGCUGGUCUGAGAGGAUGACCAGCCACACUGGAACUGAGACACGGUCCAGACUCCUACGGGAGGCAGCAGUGGGGAAUAUUGCACAAUGGGCGCAAGCCUGAUGCAGCCAUGCCGCGUGUAUGAAGAAGGCCUUCGGGUUGUAAAGUACUUUCAGCGGGGAGGAAGGGAGUAAAGUUAAUACCUUUGCUCAUUGACGUUACCCGCAGAAGAAGCACCGGCUAACUCCGUGCCAGCAGCCGCGGUAAUACGGAGGGUGCAAGCGUUAAUCGGAAUUACUGGGCGUAAAGCGCACGCAGGCGGUUUGUUAAGUCAGAUGUGAAAUCCCCGGGCUCAGCCUGGGAACUGCAUCUGAUACUGGCAAGCUUGAGUCUCGUAGAGGGGGGUAGAACUCCAGGUGUAGCGGUGAAAUGCGUAGAGAUCUGGAGGAAUACCGGUGGCGAAGGCGGCCCCCUGGACGAAGACUGACGCUCAGGUGCGAAAGCGUGGGGAGCAAACAGGAUU
rnacentral:rRNA from 1 species